GUAACAAGGUCUCCGUUGGUGAACCAGCGGAGGGAUCAUUACCGAGUUUACAACUCCCAAACCCAAUGUGAACGUUACCAAACUGUUGCCUCGGCGGGAUCUCUGCCCCGGGUGCGUCGCAGCCCCGGACCAAGGCGCCCGCCGGAGGACCAACCUAAAACUCUUAUUGUAUACCCCCUCGCGGGUUUUUUUAUAAUCUGAGCCUUCUCGGCGCCUCUCGUAGGCGUUUCGAAAAUGAAUCAAAACUUUCAACAACGGAUCUCUUGGUUCUGGCAUCGAUGAAGAACGCAGCGAAAUGCGAUAAGUAAUGUGAAUUGCAGAAUUCAGUGAAUCAUCGAAUCUUUGAACGCACAUUGCGCCCGCCAGUAUUCUGGCGGGCAUGCCUGUCCGAGCGUCAUUUCAACCCUCGAACCCCUCCGGGGGGUCGGCGUUGGGGAUCGGCCCUCCCUUAGCGGGUGGCCGUCUCCGAAAUACAGUGGCGGUCUCGCCGCAGCCUCUCCUGCGCAGUAGUUUGCACACUCGCAUCGGGAGCGCGGCGCGUCCACAGCCGUUAAACACCCAACUUCUGAAAUGUUGACCUCGGAUCAGGUAGGAAUACCCGCUGAACUUAAGCAUAUCAAUAAGCGGAGGAA
rnacentral:rRNA from 1 species